rnacentral:rRNA from 1 species
CAGUAGCCGCGGUAAUACGAAGGGGGCUAGCGUUGUUCGGAAUUACUGGGCGUAAAGCGCACGUAGGCGGAUAUUUAAGUCAGGGGUGAAAUCCCGCAGCUCAACUGCGGAACUGCCUUUGAUACUGGGUAUCUUGAGUAUGGAAGAGGUUAGUGGAAUUGCGAGUGUAGAGGUGAAAUUCGUAGAUAUUCGGAAGAACACCAGUGGCGAAGGCGGCUCACUGGCUCAUUCUAGACGCUGAGGUGCGAAAGCGUGGGGAGCAAACAGGAUUAGAGACCCGCGUAGUCCCUGUCUCUUAUAC